rnacentral:rRNA from 1 species
CAGUAGCCGCGGGAAUACAGAGGGUGCAAGCGUUAAUCGGAAUUACUGGGCGUAAAGCGCGCGUAGGUGGUUUGUUAAGUUGGAUGUGAAAUCCCCGGGCUCAACUCGAAGUCUGCAUCGAAAACUGCCGGGCUUGAGUGUGGGAGAGGUGAGUGGAAUUUCCGGUGUAGCGGUGAAAUGCGUAGAUAUCGGAAGGAACACCUGUGGCGAAAGCGGCUCACUGGACCACAACUGACGCUGAGGCGCGAAAGCUAGGGGAGCAAACAGGAUUAGAUACCCCCGUAGUCCCUGUCUCUUAUAC